AUUCCUCUCAAAAACUUCAUGGCAAACUGAGUUACUCUUGAUAACUUUUUCUUUUUAGAAAAAUUCUGACAAAACCUGACAUUACAACCACUGCAAGGCACAUGAGGAAUCAUGCAGAAAAAAAUGGUCGUGUACUUCAGAUGUGAGAAGACUAGGAAAAUUUCGGUGAGAACAAAAUUGUCGAAGAAUGGAAGAAUGGUUCUGUUAUCAGUGGAGAUCCUCUUUAGCAGGGUCUGUUGUGAUAAAACAAGGGGAAGUGCUUCAAACUAAAACAAGGAACCAGUAAGUUUUUACAGGAGAGUUACUCUCUUUGGCAAACCACAAGAUCACAGGGUGGCUGAGGCUGGAAGGCACCUUUGGAGAUCAUCCCAUUGAACUCCCUACUCAAAACAGGGUCAGCUACAGCUGCUCAGGAUUGUGCUCAAGUACAGAUCUGACUUGUGCUGAUUCCGAGGAUUGGUAUCUGAAAGCAACUGUAAUACUUCUGCUAUGCUGUUUGGG
rnacentral:lncRNA from 1 species